GAGCUGCUGUUGGUUAGCAUUAUGCGAAUGCUGCUGUUGAGGCUGCCUGAAUCCAUUUCUACCUCUGCAUUACUACAGUUAAAGUCUGCAGCACUGUUUCAGUCAGAAGAAGAGGGCUGCAGUGUUUCCUCCAUGAUGAGAGAGUAUAUUUUAUCCAGAGAUGGAUUUGGGACGAGAUCAAGGCUCUGCAGGUCUCAUGCAGUCUAUGUGACCGCAGGUACCUUCCUGUAGACUAAGAUGUUUAGCAGCCGGCGAGUCUUUGAGGACAUCUUUCACGAAGAUCCCACGCUGUCCUCCGCCCGUCACACUGUAGCCGCUGGCUCCAGCCUCCGCCUCCGUCUCCACCACGAUUUCGACUGACUUAGAGGCCUCCUCCACAACCUAAGACACACACAAACACACACACAUACACCAAUCAGGCCCAAUACCAGAAGUGCCUUCUGUAUUUUGUUAUGGCUUCUUCUGGCUGCAGUAUAACUUAUUUAGACUUGAAGAUGAUGAACACAGCACUUAAAAAAAUGACAUGUACAUAAUUUUUUGGUAUUAAUGUAUUGUGUUAAAGGACAGAUUCAAGCUUUAAAGGCUUUCAUGAUAUAUUUUGAAGUCGGAUCUUUGCAUCAAAGGUCACUGCAGACUUACUCUGUCUUAUUUAGAAGAAAUGGAUUCAAAACAUGGACUGGAGAGGGAUCGAAGAUGCAAAGGUCCAUAAAAUAUAAAUCUGAAUCAUAACCUUUAGCGUCAGCCAACUUCCAAUGUUGCAUUUUGCAGUUUUUAGACCUGCAUCAAAUGAGACCCUGAAUGUUCUCUGGUCUUUGUGUUUCCUUGCUAGAUUAAAAACUGUUACACGAGAGUCUCCGCGCUGUGCAGAAAUCUGUUUUGCUCGGAUGAACGAUUGGAGCUGUUCCUGCAGAGUAUUU